CACUCACUGCUCGAUUCGCGUUCGGUAAUAUCAAUUUUUGAAUACUCGAGUAAAAUUUUAUAGACAGCCUAAGUAUGACGUAACAGAGACGGCGGAGCUUAUACAGACUCCAAACAAUUUUGUUGAUAAUGAUAAAUGCACAUAAGCAAUUUUUCAUUUAGCGUUUUCGUGGUUUAUGUGAUAAAAUAAGAUUUUUUUUUCAGUUGAAUAUAUUGUUGAAGGAACGUACUAUUUAGAAGUUUUUAUUAGUUUUUCACCAGAUCCUUUUAUUGUUAAGAAAAUAAUGGGUUUUAAACAUGUCCUAAAACUUUCCAGCAUCAGUGCUUUUAUAGAUGACACAACAAAAUUAUAAAAAGGGGUGAAAACGCCUUAGAGUCCAGUCAUGCAAAAUGGACUUUGACUCUGAUUUGCAGGUAAUCAGAGGGGAAGUAUUUGCUAGUAUGAAAGAGAAAAGCUACAAGGUAUCUAUAGUGGUGAAAUUGAAGAAGCCACCUGCACUAGUCCCAGGGAUGUAAAAUACGGCGUUGGCACUUUUUGGGCAUUACAAUAUGUAAACAUUUAUCAUUAUACAGAUAAAGCGCGUGCAUGGAAGGCCUACCUAAACCGAAGGUUGGGCCAGUGAAAUCUGCAGAAGAGCUUUACCCACCAAAGCCCUAUACACCUCUUAAAGGUGGGGUACCAGAAGCAUCAAUCAACAGAUUGAAGGAAGGGCUACACAGCUUUGGAAAUACUGUUGGUUUACCUAGCUAUCUAAGAGGAAUCAAUAAAUUUGCUGAAAAAUGGAUUUCCAGUAAUUGAAGAAAUAAUUUCUUCAAAGGACUUUUUGGAAGCCACAAAUAUACUGACUGUGUUCAAAGAGAAAUGUGCUGUUUAUAAUCAGCUAAUAAAAUAAAUAUUUGUCCUCCUACUGGCCAGGUGUCAAAUGAAAAAUGGUACCUUUCAAGAAAAUUUCGAUUAACUGCUAGCAACUUCGGUGCUAUUAUUGCAGCAUGCAGGAGAAACAGAUUCUCAGUGAGUUUGUUCAAAACACUCUUAGUAAAUAAUGUAAUGCUACUUGGGUCGCCAUAUAUUUCGUUAGCAAAAAUUGGCACCAGAAGAAAAGUUUCCCCAUCCCUGCUCUAGAUCAUUUGAAGCAGAUUUAUAAUUUAAAUAUUCGGCCAACUGGAGUAUGGCUUACAAAUUCAGGACUUCUUGGUGCUAGCCCUGAUGGAAUAAUUGAUGAAGAAGAAGCCUUUGUAGAAGUGAAAUGCCCAUAUUCUUUCAGAAAUGGCUAUUCUACAGUGUUAACAGAUAGAGUAUACAGUUGGAAAAAUCUUUACUAUUCAUUUUAGACUGAAAAGCCACUCCAUACAAAUUUUUGUUCAGGAAAUUAUGUUUUUUUAUAUAAAUGUAAAAUGCCAUUUUGCCAAUAAAGAUUUUUAAAACAAA